rnacentral:rRNA from 1 species
CAAGGUGAGAGAUACGGAGGUAGAGCACUGAAUGUCCUAGGGGGUAUUGCACCUACCGAAGACUAUCAAACUCCGAAUGCCGUCAUCUUAUACUUGGGAGUCAGACUGUGGGUGAUAAGAUUCAUAGUCGAAAGGGCAACAGCCCAGAUCGUCAGCUAAGGUCCCUAAAUGUAAGUUAAGUGGUAAAGGAUGUGGGAUUGCACAGACAACCAGGAUGUUGGCUUAGAAGCAGCCACUCAUUCAAAGAGUGCGUAAUAGCUCACUGGUCGAGUGAUCCUGCGCCGAAGAUUUCCGGGGCUAAAACUUACUACCGAAGCUACGGCAUCAGUAAUGAUGGGUAGGGGAGCUUCCCAUACGGGUUGAAGCAUGACCGUAAGGACAUGUGGACAGUAUGGGAGUGAGAAUGUUGGCAUGAGUAGCGAGAUGUGGGUGGGAAUCCCACAGGCCGUAAACCCAAGGUUUCCAGGGGAAGGUUCGUCCACCCUGGGUUAGUCGGGACCUAAGCUGAGGCCGAAAGGCGUAGGUGAUGGACAACAGGUUGAUAUUCCUGUACUACCGAUAACCGUUUGAGAGAAGGGAUGACACAGUAGGAUAAGCUAAGCACACUGUUGGUUAUGUGUGCCCAAGCAUUGAGGCAGUCAAAGUAGGCAAAUCCGCUUUGAUAAUGCUGGGAUGUGAUGGGGAGCGAAAUU